rnacentral:rRNA from 1 species
GAUGGCGACCGGCGCACGGGUGAGUAACACGUAUCCAACCUGCCGAUAACUCGGGGAUAGCCUUUCGAAAGAAAGAUUAAUACCCGAUGGCAUAAUAGAACCGCAUGGUUUGAUUAUUAAAGAAUUUCGGUUAUCGAUGGGGAUGCGUUCCAUUAGGCAGUUGGUGGGGUAACGGCCCACCAAACCUUCGAUGGAUAGGGGUUCUGAGAGGAAGGUCCCCCACAUUGGAACUGAGACACGGUCCAAACUCCUACGGGAGGCAGCAUG